GCCGGCACCAUAUAAAUCAAGGGCUUUACUUGUAAUCAGUAGGUCCCGGGUUCGACUCCUGGUGCCGGCACCA
rnacentral:tRNA from 1 species